AUUGAACGCUGGCGGCAGGCCUAACACAUGCAAGUCGAGCGAGCGGCGGACGGGUGAGUAAUGUCUGGGAAACUGCCUGAUGGAGGGGGAUAACUACUGGAAACGGUAGCUAAUACCGCAUACCAGCAGCUGUGCCCCGAUGGGGUGAGCUAGAAGGUGGGGUAACGGCUCACCUAGGCGACGAUCCCUAGCUGGUCUGAGAGGAUGACCAGCCACACUGGAACUGAGACACGGGCCAGACUCCUACGGGAGGAAGCAGUGGGGAAUAUUGCACAAUGGGCGAAAGCCUGAUGCAGCAAUGCCGCGUGUGUGAAGAAGGCGUUCGGGUUGUAAAGCACUUUCAGCGGGGAGGCGUUACCCGAAGAGGAAGCACCGGCUAACUCCGUGCCAGCAGCCGUGGUAAUAC
rnacentral:rRNA from 1 species